rnacentral:rRNA from 1 species
AUGCAGGUUUCGUUGCUGCGAUCAAUGCGGCCACAGCCAGAAAACACCAGAGGAGGAGAUUGCUCGGCAUUGGAGUUCGCAGAGCCCCGGCUCGGGCCUGUUCUUCUUGUGACGCGGGAGGAUCUCGAGCAAUUCGAUACGAGGGAUUGGGAAGAGUACUUCCGGGCGUCCUCGGCGGCGAGACCCUUCCCCGUGGAGGUAGCUCUGGUGAUUGCGCUCGCUGCGCUCUCCUUGGUGUUUGCCGUCAUGGCGACCAAGGCUCGGAAGAGGCGGCGCGGAGGUGCCGGCGGAGGAGGGGGAGGAAGAAGCGGGAGCGGCGGCGGCGGUGGAGGGAGCCCUAGGCGCGGAGGCCUCCUCUCGUUGGUUCCGAGACGGGGUGCGGCGCUGCUGACACGGCGCGCGUUCGAAGACGCUGGCACGCCGAAAGGCCUGGCCGAGGCCGACGGGGUGCUCUGGCUGGCGCGGGGGCGCGUCCGCGCGGAGAUCGAGCUGACUCAGAGGAUGAUCGCCGGGCUGCGCCAGGCACGCUCCGACUCCCAGGAAGGAGCGGCUCCUAAGAUAAUUUCGACGAAGGCUCGGAAGAGGCGGGGCGGAGGUGGUGGCGGACGAGGGGGAGGAACAAGCAGCGGCGGAGGCGGUGGUGGCCUCCUCCCUUUGGUUCCCAGACACGCGGGCAAGCGGAAUGGCCUGGCCGAGGCCGACGCGGCGGUCUGGCUGGCGCGGGUGGUGGCCACGGGGAUGCGGGGGCGCGGCCGCGCGCACAUCGAGCCGACGCAGAAGAUGAUCGCGGGGUUGCGCCAGGCACGCUCCAAAUCUCACUCCCAGGAAGGAGUAGCUCCUAAGAUCAGCAACUUGUCAAGUUAUGCACAGAAGCGUGUUAGAACAGUCCCUGUGAAUCAUCUAGCUGCUAUCCCUGAGUGGAAAACUGCUGCAUCUGAAGCAGAAGCUGAUGAUUACAAAGCUGCAACCUUAGCAAAACUGGGCACAACUGUCUGUCGCCUGAACAUAGAUAUCCCAGCCAGUGAUGAGUCAGAGAAGAUGAGGAAAGAAGUGGUGGACAGGUGCAGGUGUGCCCAUCCAGGAUCCGAGGACUGUGUACGCGUUCAUGUCGGCAAGGCGAGGAGCUGGAUCAAGGAUCAGUUGGGUGAGGAAGCUUUCAGAAACUGCGGGCUUGAUGCGAUGGGUGAGCAAGUUGCAGAGUUAUGGGCUUCAGUUGACAGAAAGAAACUCGAAGAUCUUGACAAGUUGGUUCCACAGAAUAAACCCCAGAAGUUCAUGGAGACUGCCUUGAAGGAGCUAGGACAAAAGGAAACAAAGGAUCUUGCAAAGUACUGCUACAAUGUUUUUCUUCCCAGAAGAUUGGCAAGCUUGACCAGGGCAGAGCAUAAAAAUGACGAAGCUGUUGACUGGGAGGAUGAAAAGAGUGACCAAGAGGAUGACAGGAACGACCGUUCGCCUCGAAAGAAGAAUAAAACAUCAGGAUCUUCUUCUUCCACAAGCUGCAGGAAGUAG